rnacentral:rRNA from 1 species
GUGAGGAAUAUUCCGCAAUGGGGGAAACCCUGACGGAGCAAUGCCGCGUGCAGGAUGAAGGCCCUCGGGUCGUAAACUGCUUUUAUAUGAGAAGAAUAUGACGGUAACAUAUGAAUAAGGGACGGCUAACUACGUGCCAGCAGCCGCGGUCAUACGUAGGUCCCAAGCGUUAUCCGGAGUGACUGGGCGUAAAGAGUUGCGUAGGCGGCUCGUUAAGCGUGAAAUGAAAUUUAUCGGCUCAACCGGUAAACUAUUUCGCGAACUGACGGGCUCGAGAGUAUGAGAGGUUACUGGAAUUUCUAGUGUAGCAGUGAAAUGCGUAGAUAUUAGAAAGAACACCAACGGCGUAGGCAGGUAACUGGCAUACAUCUGACGCUGAGGCACGAAAGCGUGGGGAGCGAACCGGAUUAGAUACCCGAGUAGUCC